rnacentral:rRNA from 1 species
UAUCUCUGUAGAGUCUGCAUAUCAAUAAGCGGAGGAAAAGAAACUAACUAGGAUUCCCUUAGUAACGGCGAGUGAAGCGGGAAGAGCUCAAAUUUGAAAUCUUCAAGGUUUUACCUUGACGAAUUGUAGUUUAAAGAAGUGUUUUCUGUUGGUGUUUUGGUAAAAGUUCUUUGGAAUAGGACAUCAUAGAGGGUGAGAAUCCCGUAUUUGACCGUUACUUCCAGCGUUGUGAUACACUUUCAAAGAGUCGGAUUGUUUGGGAAUGCAGUCCAAAAUGGGUGGUAAAUUUCAUCUAAAGCUAAAUAUUGGCGAGAGACCGAUAGCGAACAAGUACCGUGAGGGAAAGAUGAAAAGAACUUUGAAAAGAGAGUUAAACAGUACGUGAAAUUGUCAAAAGGGAAGCGUUUGACACCAGUGUUGUUUUCUCGAAAAUCAAUUAAAAAAGGCAGGAUUUUGUGUUGUAUUGACUUUAUCAGCUUUCUGCACCUUUUCUUGUCUUUUUUAAUGCACUUUUCGUUUAACAAGUCAACAUCAAUUUCUUUUGUUGUAAAAGGGUCAUUGGAAGGUGGCCUUUCUUUUCGGAGAAAGUGUUUAUAGCCUUUGGCCUCUGCAAUCGGAGAGAUUGAGGUCUGCAGCGUAGAUCCUUCGGGUUAGAUACAUUUGUGCUAAGUUAUAGCCUUUCAUAGACAACUUGUUGACUAUGAUCAGUCAUGUAGCUUACUCGCUUAUGCUAUUUUACCUACGCUUAGGAUGUUGACGAUCAGCUGAGCGCG